UUGAGCCGUAUGAGGGGUGACUCUCAAGUACGGUUCUUAGGGGAGGAUGGUGUGGUAACACACUGUCCUUACCCGAC
rnacentral:ncRNA from 2 species